GGGGAGCAAGCGUUGUUCGGAUUUACUGGGCGUAAAGGGCGCGUAGGCGGCCACCGCAAGUCGGUUGUGAAAUCUCCGGGCUUAACCCGGAAAGGUCAACCGAUACUGCGGGGCUAGAGUGCAGAAGGGGCAACUGGAAUUCUCGGUGUAGCGGUGAAAUGCGUAGAUAUCGAGAGGAACACCUGCGGCGAAGGCGGGUUGCUGGGCUGACACUGACGCUGAGGCGCGAAAGCUAGGGGAGCGAACGGG
rnacentral:rRNA from 1 species